UAGGAUCUAUAUGAGGGACAUUUUUGUUUUCACAACACUAUGAAAAAAAUGUAUCUAGACUAUACUUCUUUCACCAUAUCAAGGAUUUUCAAGUUUGUUCACUAUUGGCUAUUGCUCCAAAGUGGGAAGUAUCGAGGAUAACUGUGAUCGAUUAUAAUCUCUUAUUGGUUUUAGAUUGUUUUGGAGGAUAACGAACCAAUUUAUGGUGCAAACGUGGAAGUGGUGAAAAGGUCACGGAGAGAUGCAUCGUAACGAAUUUAGAAUUCGUUUAAAGACUUCUCAUUGGUGUCGACUAAAGUUAUAAUCGAUUUAUGAAAUUGCAAAUAGCAACGAUAAAUCUCUCGGUUAUUAUUGGUAUCCUACCAAAUUUACAUCAGUCAUCUCAUAUUCUCAUAUUUAACAAAAAGUUAUCAAUUAACUCGAAACAAAGAUAUUAUUAUUUGUUAUAUAAAUUAAAAGAAAAUCAUAUUAUAGCUAUUGACCUUCUUAUUACAGAACUUCUCCAGAUUUGGUCCCUCCAUGUUAUUCUGAGUCAGCAUAUCAUAGGCAGACUGAACUGUAAACUGACCAUUGAAGGUCUCUCCCCACGAUGUAUGGUCUUGAGCUCCAGAGAAGCUAUCUAUUGCAACAGCUCCCAACCUCAACCGUAUCUUCUCGUAAAUCCAUGGUAUAAGACGACCAAGAGACCAGUCCACCUCAUCGUUCCAUAAAUCACUGGCAUGUUCAUCAAUGUGGUCCUUCGGUACCGCCCCUUGCAUCAAAUCCAAGAAAUACUUGUUUGUCAGCCACAUGUCCUUCAAAAAAUGAACCUCUCUCCCCUCACCCAAGACACAAUUCUGUCUCGGCAAGACCACCUCCCUAUGCCAGUCACCACACUACGCCACAAUGAAGAACAAGUUCCCUUCGACACCAGCCAGUGUAGAUUAUGGGUGUCACCAACCUUAUACUUACACAUUAACACUUUAGCCUACAAGCUGACCCGAUCAUGUAAUAAUCUCCACCCCACCUUUGCUAGUAGUACCUUGUUCAUAGCAUGACCACGCUUGAUGCCCAAACCCCCUUCCCUCUUUUGGGUACAUACUCGUUCCUAUGCAAUCAGAUGAUGCUUGCGUUUCUACAUAGUUCUCCCCCAGAGGAAAGUUCGUGACGCUUUCUCCAGAUCAUCAAGCAAAACUUUAGGCAAAAAGAUCACGCUCAUGGUGUGAAUUGGUAUAGCUGCUAGAACCGCUUUCGUGAGAUUCGUACGCCUCGCAAAGCUCAGACACCAUUCUUUCCAUCCUGCGAGUUUAGAGGAAACUCGUUCCAACACUUCUUUCAACAUUGCUCUAUUCACCCUCUUUUGCAGAAUGGGCAUACCCCAGUAUUUACCCAAGUCUUUGGUGGACAUAAUGCAACUCUCAUCCGAUAUCAAUUUCUGCAUAUCCCUGGACAGAUUCUCAGAAAAGAAGAUUUUCGAAUUAUCCAGGCUCACUCGCUGACCAGACGCAAUACAGAAUUGCUCCAAAAUCCUUCUGAUAACUUUUAUCUGAGAGACUGAGGCUUCAGCAAAGAGGAUCAGAUCGUCGACAAACCAAAUGUGCGAGAGUGGGGACCCCCCUGGCCACUCCUUUCCAACGAUAUCUCUAUCAAUCAUUUGACACCACCUCUCCAAACACAUAAUAAAUAAGUAUGGUGACAAAGGGUCACCCUGUCUCAGACCCCUCUACGGUGUGAAGGCUUCAGUCUGCUCUCCCUUCCACAGAAUAUUCAUCUUUGAAUCCUUCACACACUUCAUGAUCCAACCAAUCCAAAUAUUUGACAAACCAACAGCAGCCAGUCUAUCCUCCAAAAAAUCCCAGCGCACUCUAUCAUAGGCCUUCUCAAGGUCAAGAUUUAAAAGCAUCCAACCUUUGUGACCCUUUUUGCGUCUCAUGGAAUAGACUGCUUCUUGCACAAUGACAAUCUUGUCCAGACUUAACCUCCCUGGAAUGAAGCUUGAUUGAGCGGGUCCUAUCAACUUCGAGAUCACCAACUUCAAGCGCAUA